UGGAUGAACGCUAGCUACAGGCUUAACACAUGCAAGUCGAGGGGCAGCAUGGUCUUAGCUUGCUAAGGCCGAUGGCGACCGGCGCACGGGUGAGUAACACGUAUCCAACCUGCCGUCUACUCUUGGACAGCCUUCUGAAAGGAAGAUUAAUACAAGAUGGCAUCAUGAGUCCGCAUGUUCACAUGAUUAAAGGUAUUCCGGUAGACGAUGGGGAUGCGUUCCAUUAGAUAGUAGGCGGGGUAACGGCCCACCUAGUCUUCGAUGGAUAGGGGUUCUGAGAGGACGACCAGCCACACUGGGACUGAGACACAGCCCAGACUCCUACGGGAGGCAGCAGUGGGGAAUUUUGGACAAUGGGCGCAAGCCUGAUCCAGCUAUUCCGCGUGUGGGAUGAAGGCCCUCGGGUUGUAAACCACUUUUGUAGAGAACGAAAAGACACCUUCGAAUAAAGGGUGUUGCUGACGGUACUCUAAGAAUAAGCACCGGCUAACUACGUGCCAGCAGCCGCGGUAAUACGUAGGGUGCGAGCGUUAAUCGGAAUUACUGGGCGUAAAGGGUGCGCAGGCGGUUGAGUAAGACAGAUGUGAAAUCCCCGAGCUUAACUCGGGAAUGGCAUAUGUGACUGCUCGACUAGAGUGUGUCAGAGGGAGGUGGAAUUCCACGUGUAGCAGUGAAAUGCGUAGAUAUGUGGAAGAACACCGAUGGCGAAGGCAGCCUCCUGGGACAUAACUGACGCUCAGGCACGAAAGCGUGGGGAGCAAACAGGAUUAGAUACCCUGGUAGUCCACGCCCUAAACGAUGUUAACUAGUUGUUGGGAAGUAAAAUUCUCAGUAACGCAGCCAACGCGAGAAGUUAACCGCCUGGGAAGUACGGUCGCAAGACUAAAACUCAAAGGAAUUGACGGGGACCCGCACAAGCGGUGGAUGAUGUGGAUUAAUUCGAUGCAACGCGAAAAACCUUACCUACCCUUGACAUGUCAGGAAGCUCUUGUAAUGAGAGCGUGCCCGCAAGGGAGCCUGAACACAGGUGCUGCAUGGCUGUCGUCAGCUCGUGUCGUGAGAUGUUGGGUUAAGUCCCGCAACGAGCGCAACCCUUGUCACUAGUUGCUACGAAAGGGCACUCUAGUGAGACUGCCGGUGACAAACCGGAGGAAGGUGGGGAUGACGUCAAGUCCUCAUGGCCCUUAUGGGUAGGGCUUCACACGUCAUACAAUGGUCGGAACAGAGGGCAGCGAAGCCGUGAGGCGGAGCCAAUCCCAGAAAACCGAUCGUAGUCCGGAUUGGAGUCUGCAACUCGACUCCAUGAAGUCGGAAUCGCUAGUAAUCGUAGAUCAGAAUGCUACGGUGAAUACGUUCCCGGGCCUUGUACACACCGCCCGUCACACCAUGGGAGUGGGUUGCAAAAGAAGUAGGUAGCUUAACCUUCGGGAGGGCGCUUACCACUUUGUGAU
rnacentral:rRNA from 1 species